CCGUCAUAGGACGCCUAUUACAAGGAAAGAGUGAAUGGAAAAGCGUGCUGGACACUCUCACCGACCAGUGGUCAAGGGGCCGGAAAGGAGUUUCAGCUGUUUUGGCAUCAAGCUACAACGACCUUCCAUCUUAUCUCAAGACUUGUUUUUUGUCCUUUGCUAUCUUUCCAGAAGACUUUGUCAUCCCAACACGUAAGUUGUUCCAUAUGUGGAUCGCUGAGGGCUUAAUUCAUCAAAAAGGAGUAGAAGUAUUGGAGGAUGUAGCAGCAGAUCGUUUGGAUGAGUUGGUGUACAGGAACUUGGUCCAGGUGGUGGCAUUGACUGCUAAUGGGAAGGUCAAAAGUUGUCGAGUCCAUGAUCUAUUGCGUGAUUUAGCUGUUGCAAAAGCAGAGGAGGUAAUGUUUCUUAAAAUCUUUGGAGAAAGUAGUAGUAGUUUUCCCCCAUCUAAAUGCCGGCAUCUUCUUGUUAAUUCUUGCUCUGAAAUGCUAAACUAUCCUGGAGAAUUUGAGCACUCAACCCCUCCUCUCCGCUCCUUGAUCUUCUUCAAUGUUGCUGAAGUUAAACAUGAAUUUAAUUUGAGUUUUGCAAGGUUCAAACUACUUAGAGUGCUUGACCUGCAAAAUAUGAAUACCUCGUAUUUACCUGAAGAAAUUGGUGAACUUUGUCUUCUAAUGUAUCUUUGUUUAAGACGCACGAGGAUCAAAAGGCUUCCACUCUCUCUAGGUUGCUUGCAAAAUCUGCAAACGCUUGACAUAUAUAUUGUUGGCUCAGUCGUGGAGGUCCCCAAUGUGUUAUGGAAGCUUAAAAAUCUCCGGCAUUUAUAUAUUCGUGAAACAAUUAAACAUGUACCACUGAAGUUUGAUACUUUGAAGAAUCUCCAAACUCUGUGUGAUGUAUAUCUAGAUACUCUGAUUGGUAACAAAAUGAUGCUGUUAACCAGCAUGAGGAAAUUGGGGGUGUGGAUAGAAAGAAGCUCGAGAAUUGAUGAACUUUUUAGUUCAAUUGCUGAGCUUGAGAACCUUGUCCACCUGGAAUUGGUCAGGUAUGGCGAAGAGGGGUUUCCAUCUUUGAUUGGUCUUUCCCACCUCAAUUAUGUCAAUCGGCUAAGGUUAUCUGGCUGGUUGACUGAGCUACCUAGCCCUCAUAAUUUUCCCCCAAGACUCUCUCAUUUGUCUUUGCUUGGCACAAAACUUGCAGAAGACCCCAUGCCAACACUGGAGAAGUUAGAACACCUUUCCAUUCUGAAACUGAAAAAUGCCUACGCGGGAAAAGAACUAGUUAUUUCAGAUAACCAGUUUCCCAAUCUCACAGUCCUUCAGCUUGAGCACCUGCCUAAUUUGAUUGAGAUCAAAAUCGGAAGAGGGGCAAUGCCACAGCUCAGGUGCUUGCGAAUCAGCAACUGCUACUUUGUAGAAAUGCUUCCUGAAGAGCUGCGGUUCAUGGAAGCUCUUGAAAAGGUGGAGGUAGAGGACAUGCCAAAAAGAUUCAUCACUAGGCUUCAUGGAAUGGAUUCAUACAAGGUCAGUCAUGUCCCAAACAUUAUCGUGACCGGCACUCUUGACCCUACAAUGUUGGGAGGGAAGCUCAAGGCUCGAAGGUUCGCAGACGUGUUAAAAAGAAGAGGCAAGAGAACUUGAUAGCUGUGUCAAAAUUUCCAAGUGAACUUCGCGUUUAUUUUUUUUUUGUUCAAUAAAAAUCAAUGCAUAUGUAGAUAUAUACUCUGUAUUUCUCUGAAUAUUUCUACUGCUACUUUUGUAACUAGUUAUUGUUAUUUAUUGCUUCUAAGCUAGCGAUGUUAUGGUGAUAAAGGAGGAGUUAGUAGUACUUUUUGUUCCUUAGUUUUCGUUUUUUGAGUUCAAUUAGUUAAAUUAGUCAAGUUCUUGGCUUCUCGUUGGAUUAUAAAUAUUAAUUAGCUGACAAUGAAUAUGAUGAUGGAGAUAAUGCGGUUGGCUUCUUAAAUAUGAGACUUGAUACCUUUUGGUUUUUAAUUGUUCUUUUAUUGGGUUGGAAAAGAAAGAAAUCUUGGGAUUUUUGAUAUCUCAAGUUGACCAUGAUAAUCAUAGUAAUAGUAAUAUUGAAGUUGUUGGGGCAAAGGAAAGACUCUGGUCAAUUUCUUUGGGCUGGUAAGUCCAUUGAAUCAUCAUUUUAUACCAAAUCAUGAAUUAAAAAGCUUUUGUGUGUGGACAUCCAAACAAAGGCCUUCAAUUAAGGUUUGGUGUGGUAAACUUUCUCAUAGUACAGUUCCAUGUGAAAUGAUGUGUUACUCUAUGAAGCUUUACCAAUUUUUCUAAUUGGAAAUUCUUGAUUUAGGAAUCUUCGUAUAUUUACAAGUGAUGAAUGUGGCUUUGCUCCUACCAUUAUGCUUUUCAAUGUAAGAUUUUUUUAGUUGGUGUCGUUUACUGGUACUAAGUGUAGAAAUAAAAGGUUUAAAUUAUUUUUCCGAACUAAUCUGCGCUACGUAUUCCAUUAUUUUUACUUAUAUCAACAUAUAACGUCUUCAUAAUUCUUGAUUUUGAGGAUCACAAGUUUUGAGAAAUGGUCCAUUUUCUAUUAAUAGGAAUCAGUCAAAUGAUUGGCUUAUUCUUGCUCCUAUGUUUCAAUCAUUUUUUUUUUCUUUUUUAAGUAGAAGUUUCAACUCAGGUCGAUUUGCUAGAAAAAAACACUUAGGUUAAUUUAAGUAUGGUUAUGAAUGAAAAAGCUCCUGGUACAAGUAGCAAACAUUUUUAUGUGUCGUAUGGCAAUUUAUUUUUGAGUGAGUAUAUUUUAUAUACUAUCAGUGUAUAUUUUUUUUUAUAAUAGUAGGUUUAGAUUAUACUACAUAAUAUGAAUUCAAAUUUAAAAUUCAAAUUAUGCAUAUAUGGUAAAUAUCCAUGUCUGUUAGUGCAAAAAAAUCACUAUACUGUCGAUACAUAAAAAGUUAAUCCUUUAUUUUUUUUUUCGCUUCAUAUCACUUUUCUAGUAGUUGGAGAAUAAAUGAUCUAAGUUACAGGAUUACAUGUAAUUUUGCUCAAUGAUAGAUCAUACGCAUUUUUUGUGUUCUUCGGAAUUUUUACACAAUUUUCCUACAUUAUCUCACUACAUUGGAUCAAUGGCGAAAGUAAAAAAUCAGUUUUUUUUUUGUGAGUAAUUAUAAUUUCUUACAAAAAGUUGAAGUCUUUUUUUUUGGCGAAGGGUUAUAAUUUUUCAGAGUGUCCAAGCCAUGACAACAGCAAAUAUUGUGCGAGAAAGAAUAUUGAAGUUCUCACGAUUCACAAAAGCAUAUUGGUAAUGUGUGGAGAAGGCAAAUACUUAAUUUUCAUAUUGCGAAACAAUUAAAUGUUUGUGUAAACAAGUUUACAAAAGAAAAGGUGUGUAACUGGAUUUGAAGUUAUGUAGAAUCUUAUAAAAAACUAAGCAUGAGUUGCAUGUGAAAUUUUCAUGUCGUGAAAUUCUUGAGUAUUUGAGUGUAUUAAGUACAAAAUUCUUUGUUCUUUAUCCAAUGUCCGAAAUCUUUCCAUAUAUAACACAUGUGGCAUGGGUUUAGUGUUAAAAUCUUUUGUCAUCUUUUUUUUUUUCUUUCAAUUUUACCUUUAUAAAAGUAAAGAUUUACUAAAGUUAACUGCUAAAAUUCAGUAACUUCUAAUAACUUUCUUAUUUUAACUUCCAAUAACCUUUUCUGUGGUUUACAAAAAAAGCAAAAAAAUCACAACUUUUUUUUUUUGCAACAAAAAAAUAAAACUGCUAAUAACUUGCAUUGCUUUGAAAAAAAAAGAUGAACAACUUAAUUUUUUUACCGUAAGUUGCAUACCCAUAAGGUGUGUCCCUUUGUACCUAGAUGCUCAAGAUAUGAAGAACUUUUCAGUUAUAUUGCCAUGCUUGAAAGCCUAAUGUUCUCCCUGAAAUUGUCGACGUUUGGAUACCAAAAUUAUUCCAAAUAAUAUUUCGUUUGCAUCACAAACAUAUUUCCCAACCUACUUUUUUAUAUUUCCAAACAUCUUUUUAUCUCACAUACAUCAUAUCACAAAAAGUGCUACAGUAAUUAUUUCAAAUAAUACACUAUCCAAACAAAUUAACAUGGAACAUCCUAAAUGCCAGCAUCUCGUUGUUCAUUCUUGCUCUGAAAGAUUUAACUAUCCUGAAAGAUUUGGCUAGUUUUGUCGUUUGCUGGAGAGAAUCUUAGAUCUUCUUUAAUCUUGCGGAAGCUGAACAUGAAUUUAAUUUGAGUUUUGCAAGAAUCAAACUACUUAAGAGUGCUUGACCUGGAAAAUAUGAAUAUAUUGUAUUUACCAGAAGAAAUUGGUGAACUUAGUCUUCUAAGGUAUCUUUGUUUAAGAUCAAAAGGCAUCCACUCUCUCUAUCUAGGUUGCUUCCAAAAUCUACAAAUGCUUGACAUGUACAUUUUCGACUUAGUGGAGGUCCCCAAUAUGCUAUGGAACGUUAAAAAUCUCGGCAUUUAUUUAUUCGUGCAUCAAAUUAUAAAAGUUUACCACUGAAGUUUGAUGCUCCGAAGAAUCUCCAAACUCUGUGUAAUGUGCAUUUAAAUACUCUGAUUGAUAACAAACUAGCGCCGCCAAUUAGCUAGCAUUAGGAAAUUGGGUGCACGGAAGGUCAAGAAUUGAUGGAACUUUUUAGUUCAAUUGCUAACUAAGCUUGAGAACCUAAUUGUCUCCCCUGGUAUUAUUGAUGGAUGAAGAAGAGGGGUUUCCAUCUUUCAUUGGCCAUUCCCAUCUCCUCAAUUAUGUCAAACGUUUAAAGUUGUCUGGCAGGUUGACUGACUGACCUGGCGCUCAUAAUUUCCCCCCAAGACUCUUAUCAUUCGACGCUGCUUGCCACAGAACUUGCAGAAAACCCCAUGCCAACACUGGAGAAGUUAGGAACACCUUUCCACUCUGAAACUAAAAUAAUGCCAAUGCAGGAAAAGAACUAGUAAUUUCAGAAAACCAGUGUCACAACCUCACAUUCCUUCAGCUUGACGAGCUGCCUGCCUAAUUUGAUAGAGAUCAAAAUCAGAAAAGGAGCAAUGCCGCAGGUCGGGCUCUUGCGGAUCAGCAAGUGCUAGUCUUUGGAAAUGCUUCCUGAAGAGUUGGAAGUUCAUGAAAGCUCUUGAAAAGCUAGAGGUUGUUGACAUGCCAAAAGAAUCCUUCAUUAGGAUUCAAGGAAUAGAUUCGUACAAGGUCAGUCAUGUCUCAAACAUUAUCCUGACCGGCAUUCUUGAACCUCAAAUGUUGCUUAUAGCUUGAAGAUUCGGCGGGAUGUAAAUUGAAGCAGGUUUGGGAACUUUAUAGCUGCACUUUUCAAACGAACUACAACUGAAUUUCAUUUCUUUAGAGCUCAAUUGCGUUUUUUGUAUUCUUCAGCGGCCUGGAUUCAAAAUUUCUAAUUCCAAGUUAACUUCACAUUUUUUUUUCAAUUAAAAUUCAACGCAUAUGUAGAUACAUAAUCUCUGUUUGUUUUUUAUUAUUUCUGCUACUAGUUAAUUUGUUCAAGUUCUACUAUUAGUUAAUUUAUUUUCCCAAUUAAAAAUCAACGCAUAUGUAGAUACAUAAUCUUUGUUUGUUUGAUUACUAUUACAUAAUCUCUAUUUGUUUGAUUACUUCAAUUUUAAAACACUUAAAAAUAUCACAAGAAUCAGAUUUAUUUUUCAAAAAAAAAAAAACCUAAAGUUUUCCUGCUAAAAUCUUCAAAUCAGUCUUAAUGUGGGCCUCCUCCCCUCCCUACAAAGGAUCUAAGAGAUUUCGACAAGACCACUUAGAGAAGUAAUCUGAACAAUCAAUUUGGGAGAAAAACGUUUUUCCAAACUGAUUGCAUUAUUAGAUUAUUCAACAAGUCAGCUUACAGAUUGCUUGACUCUCAUAUUUUUCCUCUAUUUUGCUUGUAAUAAGUCAUAAGUCAAAUAAUGUAAUCAUUCUUCAAUUAUUCAACUUUUUCUUAAUUGCCUAAUCAGAUCAGAUAUUUGCAUUUUUCUUCAAAAUUAGGUUGUCUUUCACACAAAAGUCAACCUUUUGAUGAAUUAUCAAUUGUAUUUCAUCUGUUUAUAACCAUUAGAUUGAAAGACAAAGUAAUAGCAUAGUUUAGCUUUCAUAUAUAGAUUAUCUUUUUAGAUGAAAUUAUUAUCAACAAACUAACUUGAAUAGUACAGUAUGCUAUCAACUUUUAUUGUGCUUCAUUUCCUUCUUGUUUUAUUUCCUUCUCGUUCUCAGAUAGCAGAGAGAGUUUCCUUCACUUUCUUGUUUUCUCAGGUUUGGUAAUACAAUUUUUAUUACUUUUUACUUUAGCAAAUAUAUGAAUUUAUUUCUUGCUAUAGUAACAUAUAUUUUCUUUUACAUGUUUUGUGUUUUCCUUUUGCAGCAUUACUUUCAGUACUCAAAUUUUUGUUUUUCCUUUCACUUUACUCCAAGUUAGUAACUUCACUUAUAAUUAGCAUGCUUAAUGUUUGAUAAAAUGGUGGUUAAGUUUCAUUGAUAUUCAAAAGUUUCAUGAGUACACUAUUACUACCUGCUUAGUAUUGAAUUAUUUACACUGUGUAACUUAUGAUUGAAAACUCUGGCAAUGAACGUUGAAACUGUUGAAAUAAAUAUAAAUUCAAAUAAUAAUAAUAAUAAUAAUAAUAAUAACAACAACAACAACAACAACAACAUUAUAAUCCGAUUAAAACUUAAGUUAAUUUGUCAAAUAUAACUUGAAAUAAUCAUGUAAAUGGUAUUCCAAUUGAAUUAUAUCCCUCCAAAAUCUACAAAUUGAAAAGUCUAUUAAAUUAUCUCAACUUUAUAUUAUUGCAUAUAAAUAAAUGGAUGUAAUUUCAAAAACAGAAAAAAAUAUUUAAAAUUGAAUCCGACUUAUUACAAAGACAAAGAUUAUUAUUGCUGCCAAAUGCACUGUACAUUUUUCUCUUUCACUUUUAUUCAUUAAUACAUUAAUAUUUAACAACAUUUUAAAAAAUUAUCUUAAAAUAUUUAGCACCAAUUAAACCUAUAUAAACCAACUAGAAUUGCCACCAAACAUAAUAUACACUUUUCCUAUCUAUGCUCUUUAUAAUAUAUUUACACAUAACGCUCAACUUAUAAACAAUCCUUCAAAUUUUAUUACCCUUAAACACUUUAGGGCGGGCGUUGGCUGUGCGUAGCACAGCUGGGCCUUACUAGUGUUCCAUAGGUACACAACUUAGACACGCAAACUUCAACUUGGAUUUUCACAAAAUAUAAAUAUAUAUAACUAUAAACAAAUAUGUGUACAUACAUACAUACAUACAUAUAUAUAUAUUAAUCAUAAUAUAUCAAUUUUGCUCUAUCUUCUUUCCAUUAGAUUGGAUGCUUUCUGUCCAAUUUUCAAUUUAAUUAAUCGAAACCAUAGGGAGUUAUAGUGUAGAUUUUCAAACAAAAGGGAAUUAAAUUGAACAUUUGGCAAAAGACAGGAAGUUUUCUGGUAUUUUACCCUUAAAACAAGGAUAAAAUAAAUAGCCUUAAUGCUAAAAUACUUUAUUGGUAUAUUGAGAUCCCAUUUUAGCAAAAAAAAAAAAAAAGUGAAUAUGCUAAUGGAUAAAAGUUUCAGUGACUAUUAAAUUUAUUCAUCAUUUUUUGCUAGAAAUUAAAAGAAAAUACAUAUCAUUGAUCUAAAAUUGUUGAAUAUAAAACUUUGAUUUCGAAAUUAUUAAAACACCUCUUAGUUAGUAUAUAUAUGUAAUUAAACUAAAAAAAUUCUAUUAAUUUAAUAUAAUUUUACAACUUUUAGGAUCCUAUUAGGAUCAACAUCAAUUUUAUAAAUGGAUCAAAAUGACUAAACUCAUUACCAACUAAUUAUUUAAUAGUAUAAAAUAAUAAUUACUUCUAUUAGACCAAAUUGAUACUAACUAUGCAAAAGAGAAUAAGCAUAUGAGAAAUUAGUGGCAUAAAUAAAUGCAAUAAAAAAUAAAGAAAGAACAAAAAGAAGUUUAAUUGAAAUUCCUAUUACCCAUUUUAUAUAAACUUAUUCUAAUUCGCAUCUCGUUUCAUUCGAUAAAUAUCAAUACCACUAUCUAAAUCGUAUGAGACUAAUCCACUAUAAUGAUUCAAAUUCCAAAUAUUGGAGACCAAAAAUGCAAAGUCUCUCUUUUUUGUUACUAUUGGUCAAUGUUGAAUUUUGGUCAAUUAUCCUAAAUAUGCCUGACGUAAAAAACUUUGAGGACUAAAUUUAUUUCGGCUGAAAUAUUAGAGACCAGUUUGGUACACAGGCUAAACAUUAAGGACUAAAACUACAUUUUUUCCUAAAUUUAUACAAUAUUAAUUACUUACUAUAAUGAACAAGUUAUUCUGGAGUUUGGUCAACCAGCUUUAUAGAUUGCAAGUCGGUUGCCCUGUUGUAUUGGCAACAUUCAUGCACUUUAUCAAUUCUGUCCACAGGAGUGGAGUUAACAAUUCCUUUUUUUCAAGUGUCAUUUUGUGCCAUAUUUUGAAGCUGUAGAUUCAUAUGUGGACGGUGUAAUAUGCAACUGAGUUUUGAAGGAUGUGCUAAUUACCCUUGAUAAAUACAUGUAUCAACUUGUUUCUUGUGCUUGCAUUUUCGUCCUUGAACAAAUGCUUAGUUCUAAUCUCAUUCUCUAUGCCAAACUCUGUCAUGCUACUAACCUAUCAAUUUAAAAUUUUAUUGUUGUAGGCUUUCAUUAAACCUGUUCCAUUAUAGUUCCAGUGAUUAUGUUUUUCUUCUUGACUUGCGUAGGAAGAGAUCCGAACUUUAUCUGCAACUGAAGAGAGUAAUGAAUUGUUAAAGAUUUGGAAAAAUUGCCAAUUUAGUUCUCAAACUAUUUCACUAAAGCCGAUUUGGUCUCUUAAUAUUUUAUUGCAUGAAUUAUGGUCAUUAACUAAAAUUCUUGUGCCAAUUGAGCGUUUAAACGGUGUCGCCACCGAAAACACAUGUUUCUGCACACAAAUCAACGGCGAGGUAGGGGUUUCUUUGAAAAUACACAAUAGGAUUUCUACGGGAAGCAAGACACCGACAUUGGGGGAAACAUUUGAAGCGAAACAGGACCAUGUAAUCCACUUCUUCACCCAAAUCCUCCAAUUCCGUGGCCGAUUGAUACUUUGCAAUGAUUGAUAAGAGGAUGGUAGUAGCCAAGUAGAAGCUGAAGCUGCCCGACCCUCAAACCAAUUGCGGGAUAAGUUGGACAUGCAAAUUGUUGGAACAGGGACGAUGGAUCCCUCCAAUCUUCGCAAUCGGUCACCCAUUUUUAUUCCUUUGCUUUUCAUCGCAACGAUUCUACACAGACUCAGCUUCAACUCGGUGUUUGCUAUUUGCGAGUUUAGCUACAGGGACCAUAACGGGCUCUACAACUAUAGCUUAGCUUCCCCACGUCGUAAAUUUCCCCAUGGCGUCCUCAGAGAAGCCGGGUUUUCUUUAACCCCCCCACAAACCCAACACAAACACCACAAAUCCCCUCUUUUUUUAACUCUCGUAUAUUAAAUUCUUUCUUUUUGAGAUUUUUUUUUUUGUAUUUUUGUGAGUAUAACUAAUGUCCUUCUUGGCAUUGAUAACGGGUCCAUUUUCACUGUCUGUUUUACCGAUUUCGCUGCUAUUGUCUCUUUUUCUUUCUAAAAAAGAUAAUGAAUGUUCCUUUUGGGCCCGGGAGAUUUUUUUGGGAGGGGGUGUGUGUGUGUGUCUGGGGUUCAUACGAAGAAAAAAAAAGACCACAAGAUUUAUGCCGAUGAUGUCAUGGUUGAGCUUGGGGAACUUUGUUCAUUCAACUAAUAAGGAAAGAAACUUUGUUCCUUCACUUGACUGCUGUGCGAAGCAAAAUAAGCAGAUUUGCAAGAAGAACUUCUCUACGAGAAGAUAAAUCCUUCAUUCUAGUAGCUUUAAUCUUUAUAGUCUUUGUCCCUUUUAGUUUUGAUUUUCGAUUAGAUCGGUAGCCUAUAGAUAAAUUGAUACAUAUUUGUUUGUUGGAUUAGUUUGUUAAAUGAAAUGUACAAAUAUACAAAUAAUACAUGCAAUAUAUAAUAAGACUUGGCUUAUACAUAGGUGAGGCUUGAUAACUAAUAACUAAGGCCUUGUUUGCAGAGUGAAAAAUUGUUUCGUUUUCCGUGAACACAUUUUUCAAUCAUUUUUUUAUCUCACAUAUAUCAAAUCACUAUAGCAAUUUUUCUACAAAAAAUUCAGAAAAAUACAAUCCAAACAAUGCCUAAAAUUUUGGUUUGAUUUGAUGCUAGAUCCCAGCCGGAUCAUGUUUUGAAAAUUCUGGUUGAAUUUCUGAUUUGAUUAAGCAUCGGAUCCGGGUUUUGAUUCAAGCCCAAUACGAACUGGAUCAUGUUCUGAAAUCAAAUCCAGUCCUAAAUCUGGAUUUGUGCAGUCAUGAAUCCAGGGCCCGAUCUUUGCUGGCAGUUAGAAAACUCUUUUGUAAUCUUUUCACACUUCACACUCUUGUCGCAUCUCUUGAUUCCAGGGCCCGAUCUUUGCUAACACGUAGAUUUUUGGCAAAACUCUUUUGGCAUCUUUUCUCACUUUUUUUUUUUUUUCGAAGCUCAAAGAACUUACGUCAAUUUUUACAAACUUAAAUCCCAGAGAACCCCAAAAGUCAGUAUCCUUUGAGGUCCCACAGGAGAGCAUCUUUUCUCACUUCAAAUGUGGUUAUUUUGCAGCCAAAAGUUGUUUCUUCAUUGAAGUCAUGUCUAAUCAAUUAUGACUACAAUAAUCCCAAAUUAAACUAACUGCCAAACAAUAAAUAAUCCCAAAUUAAACUAACUGCCAAACAAUAAAUAAAUCUACAGUAAAAAAAUUAUCCCAAAUAAUCGUCUACAGUUGUAUUCCUAUAAAUAAACAAAUAACUGCCUAACAAAUUAAACUAACUUUGUCAUUUGAUCAUUUUUUUUUAGUGAGAAUAUACUUUGAUUUUGCUGUCAAACAUUCUCUAGUCUUGUCAUAUCCUAGAGCUGUAUUGCCAUAAUCCAGAAGUAAACUACUGCUUGUAAGGAUAGUGUAAUCAACAAGCCUCAAGAUCAUCGCACCCUUUUUCUUUAGUGAUAUUUCGUUGCGUAAAUUUUUGCAUUUUAAUGUGCAACAUUCAUCAACAUUGUUUGCUCACAUUCUCCUUGUGUUUGAGUUAUAUAUCUUUCAGAAUUAAUGUGUAAUGAUGUUGUGGUUUUCUGACAAAGCUGAUGGCUAGUUGGAACCAAUGUUUUAAAAGAUGAAAGCGUUGGCGGGACGUUUAAUAUCCGUCCCAAUGGGGUGAAAGCCCCAAGGCAUGAGACAUAAGCUUUGUGAAUUUUUGUUUUAAAUAUAUAUAUAUGAUAUAUACUAUAAAAAUUCAUUUGAAGAUAUAAAUAAACAUAAUAAAAUUAAGGAAAUUUAUACGGAUAAAGAAUUGUUAUUGUAUAACUCUGACUAAUAAUUUAAGAAACAUACAUAUUAAUAUUAGCUGCACAAAAAAAAAGAAUAAAUAACAUUACAAAAAUGUCAAUCUUAGAAACAAACUAGUCACAACUUAACAGUCACCACAUUAUCAAGCACAACACAUAAAUUCAAGUAAACACAAACUUCAAAGUUUAAUUGUUUCAAUAAACACACUUAACUAGUAUAAAAAAUAAAAUACCAAGUUAGCAACCAUAUUGCUUAUAAUACAUAACAAGAAAUAAUACCAAUAAUUAGAAACAAACUGACAAAUAAAAUGAUACUACUCAUCAAUGUCAAUAUCAUCCAUGUCAUCAUCUUCAUUUAGUGUAUAUACACUUGGUAAUUUUCUUCCAAUAGUGGUGGUUCUGAAAUUUCCGUCACAUUAUAAUAUCCAAUCUAUAGGUAACAAUCUCUUUUCCUUCAUCUUUCUUGGCUAACCAUAGCUUAUAUUUCAAAUAAAUUCAUAUCAAAUUCACUCAAUGUCUCGAUAUAAUAGAUAGUAAAUUAGUAAUAAAACUGAAUACUAAAAAGUUAAAAAACUUAAUUGAUGAAGUUAAUCUUUUUUUUUUUUUAAAUAAUUUGUGAGGCGUAUGCUUUUAACGCUCUACUUCAGAGGUGCGCUUGAUCUCUUGGGGUACAUUCCUAAAAAUAUUCCCCUUAUGCGAUCACCAAGGGGCAGUAUUGGAACUCCCUGGCUGGAACUCAAACAGGUCAUGAUUCAAUAUUUUGAGAAGAGUAGUCCGAAAGAAAGGAUCAAGUAGUCAUUCUCAUGCUUUUGUCAAAGUAGCAACAAAAAUUUGGUAUAAAGUAUUCUGACGAAGUCAUCAAGAGUACUUCCCCUCAAAUAAUCCUUUCAACCUUGUACCGGCUGCAUUCUCAAAAUGACUUGUAUUAACUGUGGCCAGGUUAUCUCAUCCUACCGGGAAAAAGCAUCCACUGGGGGGACUGCACAGGGGAUUUUUUUUUUUGGCUGCUUUUGAAAUGAAAAUUGGUGAAUAUCCUCAGGACAUUGUUGAUGCUUGUGCUCCACGCCUAGGGCUUCAAGGCUUUGAUUGACAGAUUGCAUCAACAUCUACCAACAACUAUGGAGCAAGACAGUCUUCUGGAAGCCUUUAGGAUUGCAAAACAAUGCUGAAAAUGGUCCCGAUCAUGAACGACAUGCACUGCACCAAGAAAAGUAAUAGGGCAGCUAGAGUUUGGCACGUCAUGAUUCAGCGGUCAUGGUGAAUGAAGGAUGUCUAUGUUAUCUUAAUUCCCUCAGUUUCUUUUGUCUGUUCUUGAAUAGAAAGCAUGUAAUAUGACUGUAUUAGCGCAUAUAGAUUUUGUGAUUGAGUCAUGUACUUGAAGGUAAACCUUUUUUAUAUCAAUCAUAAUCCUCUAUGCUAACAAAUACAAAACAAUCAGUUAAGAAAUUAAAGAAAUUCAUUCGAAGUAGACAAACAACAACACAAAAAAGGAAGGAAGUAGCUAGUAGCAUGAGGAAGGACAAUAGAAAAAAUAAAGUGUCAAAUGCAUUUUACUCCCUAUAGUUUAGAUAUUUUUUCAUAUAAUCUUCUUAUGAUUUCAAAAUCUAUACAUAACUUGUUUGUCGUUUGAACUAAAGUAUCAAAGUGGCAAAAAUAAUCCUCUGUAAUGGAAUCCAUUGAGAUGUUGAGAUUACCUUUGUUUAAAAACUAAAAUGACUGAAGUAACCAAAAUAUAUAAACAUAAUAUGCAUGACACUUUAACCCCUUAUAAUUUUAUAUUUUACCAUAUAAUCCUCUUAUAAUUUAGUGUUUUACCACAUAAACCUCCAUGUAAUUUUCAAAAUAGAUACAUAACCCUCCCGUGAUUAAUAAAGAAAUUCCAAAUUUACAUAAGGAUACUUUUGACAUUUUAGUUGAUUCCAUUAUGGAAUGCAAAUUUUGCCACUUUAACACUUUAAUUAAAAUCAUGAGAGGUUAUGUAUAGCUCUUGAAACUACGGGGGAAAUUAUGUAAAAAUGCACUAAACUAUAGGGGCUAAAGUGUAAUUUACCCAAAAAUAAAUUAAGAGCGUCAAAAAAAGGAAAGGAUGAAAAUAGAAUAAAUCGGCUUAACGCUAAAGUAGUUGAUUGGUAUAUUGUGAUCCCGUUCUAGGCAAAAAAAAAAAAAAAAAAAAAGUGAAAAUGAAAAUGUACAAAACUAGCAGUAUGUGCUAAUAGAUAAAAAUUUAAAUGACUAUGAAAUUUAUUUAUUAUUUUUGCUAGAAAUUAAAAGAAAAUUGAUAUCAUUGAUCUAAAAUUAUUGAAUAUAAAACUUUGUUUUCAAAAUUAUUAAGACACCUCUUAGUUAGUAUAUAUAUGCAAUUAAACUAAAAAAAUUCUAAUAAUUUAAUGUAAUUUUACAACUUAUAGGAUCCUAUUAGGAUCAAAAUCAAACUUAUAAAUGGACCAUAGAAUCAUAAAAUAGUAAUAGGAGCAUUGUGAGAUUAACAACUAAUCAAACAAAGACAUGCUAUAACAUUUGGGAUAACAAAUCUUCUGCAUCAAACACUAACAUGCACGCCAUCACACUGGAGACUUCCGAUGAAUCAAGCAAGUAAAGUAAUGACUUGAUGAAUUUGUAGUUAAAAUCCAAAGGCAAGAUGAUUUGUAGUUUACUAGUUUGUAAUGAUAAGACAAUAGUUUAAUCAAGUACAAACUUGGAUAUUAGUUUGGGGAAGUUUGUGCUCAGUUAUGAUAGCAAUAGCAAUCGAGUUGAAUUUAUAAUUGUGAUAUGUGCAGUAAUUGAAGAUAGUUUAUAGCUUGUAAUUAGUUUGGUGAUCUGACGUGGACUGUACAGGAUAAUUGCAAUAUUCUGGCUGUGGGUUUUUUUUUUUUUUUUGAGAAAUAUUAUGAGCACUCCCACUUUUGUUAACAAAAUGCUUCUACUUUCCAUUUUUUCUCACCAAGAGAUCAUUGUGUCCCUACUGGACAUUCUUUAUCCUGCCUAAUUCUAAUAUGGUCCUAGAAAACUGGGCAUAGAAGAAGGUUAGACGAUGAUAGAUUAGUUUCUUUGGUGAGACAAAAUAGGUAAUUGGACUGUGGUUCACCGAAAACGGAGUGUUAAUAACAUUCCCCCCUUUUUUUUUAUCCACAUAACUAAAGGAUAUAAGAUAGGCCAAAAGUUAUCCUUAUAGGUUAAAUGCCAUCCACCAGUUCUCACAUGUCAGGCUAUUGUUAAUGAUGUAGUUUUCUGAAAUUUUGUAGAAAGAUGUUAUAUGUGAGAUAAGGAGGGAGAUAAAUGAUGUGUUUACCGAAAACGUAAAAUAAGUGAAUUGUUUAUCACUUAUUUUUAAAAUAAAUUUUAUCUUGAAAAUUUAAUAUUAUUUAAUUAAUUGAAAUAUUUUAUUUUUGAUUAUCAAAUGCAUUUGAACAUAUUAAAAUUUGAAUACAUUAAAUUUAAGUGUUAAAUUGCAUAUUUGUAGGGCUGUACUAGGUACCCACAACUUGUUCUCGCUGAUCAAGGCUGUCCAAUACUCCAAGUACGAGACAGGGUACCUUCAAAAGGUCAAAAAAACUAAUUUACACUUCAUCCAAUGUACGCAUGAUACAAUUUUUAAUGUACAUAGGGAAACUUAAAUAAUUAUGGAUAAAAAAUAAAAAAGCCCCCUGUGGUAAAUCUAAUAUACAAAAAAGUCCCCAAUGGUUUCAAAAUAUACAAUACGACUCCUCAUGCUUUGAACUAAAUUGUAAAGGUGACGGAAUCCGUUAAACUUAACGGAAAUGGACGAAAUGACCAAAAUGCCCUGAUAUAAUUAAGCAAAAGACUGCUCAAAAAAACCAUUUGUUUUAUUCUCUAAAUAGAGAGAAUUAAGGGCUAAGGGGUAGAAUAGGUAAUUUGAUAAAAAUUAGGUAUGAAAUUUUUUUUUAGGUUCCAAUAAAUCAUUUCCGUUAAGUUUAACGGAUUCCGUCACCUUUACAAUUUAGUUCAAAGCAUGAGGUGUCGUAUUGUAUAUUUUGAAACCAUAGGGGGCUUUUUUGUUUUUUACCCAAUAAUUAUUCCAACGCUAGCACCACAAAUUUCUUCCCUCUGAUCAAAGCUAGGCUAAUUCCUUUGUUUAUUGCCAAAAAAGAAAAAAUUGCAAGAAAAUGGUCUAACAUGAUCGAAGUAUAGAACUAUGCCUGCCGGGCUGAUUAUGCUCUAUAGGCAAGCCUUUUUUUUUUUUUUUAAUCAUACCCAGCUGCAAUAUUUUUAAAAAAAAAUUAUGAUGACUACCAGUUUGACACAGGUAGACAACCAUCAUCAAAAAAGGAAAAAAUUUGCAAGCAAUAAAUAUUAUUUAACUUUUCAGCUCUUUUCUUUAUUUAUCUCAUGGAGAAACUAUUUAUCAAGGGAUGCGUCCAAUCUUACUACCUUCCAGGAAGGCUCCUGUGACAUGCAAUUUGUAAUCAUCUCUUUUAGGGCAAGGGUUGCAUAUACAGCAAGAGCUCUGGCUACAGUUACUACGAUCUUGAGGAUGUCAACUGGAUCAACCGUAUCUCACCUUUUUAUCUCACAUACAUCACAUCACAAAAAAUGCUACAGUAAUUAUCUCAAAUAAAUCAUCCAAACAAACAAAUUGAUGUCUUCUUUCCUUAAGAAAUUUGUUUCAAAUAUUAGUUUGGAGGGAAAGUUUGGAAGACUUGAAAUCUAAUUUUUAGUUUCAUGGUUGAAUUAGGAAACUUGAAAUACUUUCUUUUGAGGUUUAUUUCUAUUUAGGAGACUAGUUUUAUUUGGUAGUAGAUUUCAAUUAGGAAACUAAGUAGAAAAAGAAAGCCAGAUUUCUGUGUGAUUAGGAGGGAGCCAACAACGUUUUCGGGGAUUCUUAUUAUCUUUGCAAUUGGGAUCCUCUAUUCCACUACUCGGUGUCAAAUUCGGUACCAAUCCCACUUAUCACGUGAUGGUAGAAGAAAUUUAAAUAAAUAGCACAUGACAAAUUAAAUAAACAGGACACUUGGUAUAAAUAUAGAAAUGACACUGAAUUGCAACUGGAAAAAUGGCAUUAAGGAUCCCGUGUGUUAUCUUUGCGGGGUCGGCCUCAAAGUGGAGAACGGCAGAGCCAUUUUGGUCCAAUCUUUUGUUCUCUCCAGUUUUUCUCUUAUCAAAGACUAAUGCGGCUAGCUUUGGAAAAAUGGUGUGAAUUGCUUCAAUUGGCUAUGCGUAAUGAUAAGUGACUAAUUUACGUAAUAAUUGUAUGAUAUUUCAUAUUAUUUUUAGUCACUUUAUUUAUAUUAUUGGAAGAAAAUGAAUCAUUUUGGCUAUAAUUGGUGAAAAAUGCUUUUAAGUGAUUAAAUGAGGCUUUUAUCACUUUUUAGUGGAAUUUUGCGCAUUUUGACAGUUUUGACACAUCUUCGUAUUUUGGCUAUAACUUGAGCUACAAUGAUCGGAUUGAGAUGAUUCUUAAACCAAUUUGAAGAUAAGAGAUAGAUCUACAACUUUGGUGAAGACAUCUGAAUCCAGUUUGAAGGUUUUCCAAGUCAAAAAUCCGAAGUACAGUAGCCAAUUUCAUUUGGUCGAAGCUGAAACAGGGCAAUGAGCAGGCAAGGGUAUUUCGGUCAUAUCUCAGCCUACACAGAUCCAAAUGAGGUGAUUCUUGAUGCAUUGGAAAGAUAACUCAAAAGGCUACAACUUUUGUGUUUUAUACAUGAGCUGGUUCAGCCUCUAACAUCAAGAAAAGAUCGGUUGAAGUUGGGCCAAAAACAGAGCAAGUGAUCCGCACUCGGAUCCACUAUUCAUCCGAACCCUCGGCUGUUUCUGGGUAAGUGGAACCGAGUUUGGAUCCAUACGGAUCCGAGGUACCGUAGCAGCUCGGAUCACUGUAGUAGCCCAGAUUUACUAUAGCAAUCCGGCCGGAACUUGGCCGGAUUUAGAGCCGGAUUUCUGGCCGGAUUGCGGUCAGAAAAGGCUGCUCUGUACGCGUAAAACUCAAUUUCACUCCCACCAACUCACAUGCGAUGCUAGACAUGUGAGAAACAUUACCAGCUGUAAGGAGAAAGUGUAAAGUUUCAUUUCUUGACCAAUGUUCAUCAUUAAAUAGCCAAAUUCAUUGCAAGACAAGGGGAUUGGAGAUCCAACAAUAGAAUAGAGAGAGAUACGGGAGAAGCUUGAAGUUGCAGAAAUGUAGCUCUUUCAUCUCCCUAGUGUUAGUUUAGCUUAGUAUAGAGUAAUAUAGUUUGUCCAUUCUUGUUUAUUAUCUAGAUUAGGAUGAAGAUGGAGGAUGAAGAAGGCAAGGAAGAAAGCUCAUGUGACAAGGGUUGUAUUUCUUCCAAACUCUUUAUCUUUUGUACUUGAUUCCAAAUUUAGUUAAUAUACAAGUUCUGAAUUUUGUGUUUAUUAUGCAUCUCUAAAGUUUAUACCUUGGGUUUGGUUGAACUUUCUAUAAUUGUUAGUGUUUAUUAUUUAGUUAUUUGAUUGCUAUGAUUUGAGCAAGUUAUUUAGCACUUUGGCUCUCUAAAUCAUGAUUAAUCUGGUACGAUUGAUUGUGAUUAUCUAAGGUGUUGUUUCUGCAGUGAAAAUUGAGAUUUAACACUAGUUCAAGAAGUGCUAAACAUAGGGAGUACACUCACGAAAGUAGAGGUGCAUCUAUGUGGUUUUUAGUGAUUCAUUUCAUGUAAUUUCACUGAAGAAAUGAACUUGUAGCUAAUUUCAUAACCAUGAGAAUAGGUAUGAAUUAGUUAUAAGUAUAAUUGAUUCACUACGAAAGUAGGAUUCAAAUGCAUAAGGAAAUUACACCAUAACUAGCCUAGAUGUAGUACUCAAUGAUCCAAAUAUAGCACUUGCAUGAGUAGUUAGGGAUACCACAACCUAAGGAGCUUUUAUUUGUUAUUUUGUAUAAUUUCAGUAGGUUAAAUUUGUUAUAAUUCAUUGAUAGUCUAAAUAAUAAAGAAGUUUUAGUAAUACCGGUAAUUGUUCACUCUUCCCUGUGGGAUCGACCCGAUAUAUACCCUAAACUACUAGUUGACCUGUAUACUUGCAGUGAACGGGUAUAAUUCGGUUUUUUUUAACUUGUAUGUAUGUAAAAUACCCGUCACGUAACUAAGUUCCUUUUCUAGUCGAAGGUCAAUUUGAGGAGUCAGUUCCAAACAUCUGUGAGAUCGAAUUAUUUUACUUAUUUCUUUUAUUCAUUGGUAUUUGUACAUUUUCUGAUUUAACUUAUUAUGAUUGUUAUGUUAUUUGAAUGUCAAGGGCUCGAUAUUCGAAUUAACCUAAUAAUCUACUGUCAGAUUAAUUGAUUGAAUCCAUAAUUGUUCAAUUGGUUAAUACCAGUGGCGACUAGCGUGAUUGGUUUCAUGUUAGGGAAACGUAUAAUCUAACUUAAAUGAACCCUCGUAGCAUGUUUGUUGGUUAGAAUUGGGCUUUUCUAAUUCUUAUUGCAAUCAAGAAAUUAAAUCUUAUGGUCAUACUUAGGGUUAUUUCUUGGUUAGGAAAAUAGUUAAUGGUCGUACCUUGACUAUCGAAAAAGUAUGGAAAGGUUGGUUGUUUAUCGCGUGUAUGACAACUAUAACUAAUCUAUUAAUGAGUAAUUGAAUUAUCUUUGCAUCGAUGAUUAGUUGAAUGGACUGUGUCUGAAAAGUUGCACCUUUGACUAAAGUCGUAUUGGUUAUUGAUUAACUCCUAUUUAUUUCUAUUAGUCGUUUUAUUAGUUGGUUAAUUAGUUGGGGGAAGGAUGGGUUGGGUGGUACGGGGGGAGGGAGUGUAAGCGUGAGGUCUCGGGUUCGAGUCAUCUUACUUGCACUAAAAAAAAAGAGUUAGUUAAUUAGUUAUUUUAUAUUUUCUAAAAAUCCCCCUUAUUCUGAACUCUAGAAGAAACGAAUUAUCCUCAAUCCCUGUAGAUUCGACCCUACCUGCCACUGUCUAUGAGUUAAUAAUUUUCUGUCAACGAGUCAAUUCUGGUAUAUCGGAUUAAGCAAACUCUUCGGAGCUAAGGUGAAUCAAGUAACCCAUUGCACAUCUAGAGUCCCUGCUCUAGUACCUGGGAUUGAUUGUUGACUGAUUUUGGUGGUAGUUAGGUUUUUAUUAUUGCACAGGCUCGACACCUGUCACUUGUUCCCGACUUUUUCAGUGACAGUAGCAAUGGGAAUGGGCUUAAGAUUUUUGUGACAAAUGUCAAAAAUUUUUCUCCUAUUCUCUCUCUCUCCAACCAUCUUCUACGCUUCUAUCUCCCUGAGUCCUUCUACCUCUCCCGCCCUAUCAGUCUCGUCGUCUGAAUCUUGGAUAAAUUGGGUUACCCACUAUCAUAAAAGAAACAAAAAUGAAGAUUGCUUCUCCUUUUAAACUGCUAGCACUCCCCUUCCCAAAAAUUCUUGGCAUCAUCAUCAUCGGCGAGGUUUUUUUUAAUUACUUGAUUGUACUUUUUAGGGUGUUGUAGGUGGAAGGUUGUGUGUUUCUUUGAUGUUCCUCAAAGAUGACUCCGGAUCAGAGUGAGUGUUUUCCAUGAUUUUUCCCAUCUCUGAGACUCUCAAUUCUUUUUCUCAUCUACCUUUGCAUUUUUUUAUUUGUUUAAUUCAUGUUUCCAAUUUCUUUUUUAUUUUUAUUUUUGUAUCUUAUGUUUCAUUUUUUGACAGUGAAUACUGAAUAUGUUCAACUCUCGUUUAGUUGCUUGAGCUCCUAUUUUGUUCCUUUUACGUUUUAGUUAGUUCUAAAAUAAUCAACGCUCUUGGUUCUUGAUGUUAGAAAAUUGGCUUAAUUUCUUUUAGGUAGAUUUCUUGUUUUGUUUGGAAAUAACUAGUUUCCUAAUUGAUUUUAGUUACUAGUAGUAGUCAAAGAAUAAUCUAUUUAGUUUUGGAUUAGAAGUUAUUUCCUAUUCUGUGCAAGUUUAGAAAUUAGAAUUGGUUUCUUAUUGUUAUUUGGGUUUUGGCCAAAUAAUAUUCCCUAUAAAUAAGUUGGAUGACAUACUACACAAGGUACAUAUAAGGGCACACAAGGGCAACAUGUAGCUAGGGGUGGCAAUUCCGGCACGACACGAACCUAACAUGAAAUUAAUGGGUUUGGGUUAGGGUUUCACAAGUUUGGGUCAGAAUCAGGUCAAACCUGAUGAACCCGAAAAGAAAAUGGGUCGAAUUCAUGUCAACUCGUGGGUAACCUGAUAUGACCCGUUUACGAAUUAAAAUAAUUUAAUAAACAUAAAAAUUAUUUUAUCUAACUAAACUAAGUUACUCUUUUUUUCCAAAGGCAUUAAUCACUUAAUUCUAAAUGAAUUUAUUUAACUUGUGUGAAGUUGAAAUUAUUAUAUUUGGACAAAUAAUGUAUUAUAUUAUUUUUUACUUUUAUACUGUUUUAAUUUAUUUUAGAUUUGGUUUGGGAUUAUUUAUUUAAAAUUUUAUUACUUGAUUAUGUAAUUAGUUUUGUGCGAAAUUGAUUUUAUUAGAAAUUACAGUGGUAAAUUAAUAAAUUAAAAUUAAGUUUUGGGUCAUUUCGAGUCGACCCGCCAACCCGAAAUUUUCGGAUUCGUGUCAAGUAUUCUGACCCGUUUCGGGUUGCCUUUCUGUUAUACUCGGGUUUCAACCCGACCCGCCAAUCCGAUUUGGACCCGAUUGCUGCCCUUACAUGUAGCCUUAUACAUGGGGUGUGAGAGAAGGUUCUUGGGAGUUAAGAGAUGGUAUACAAGGGUUGGAUUUGGGUUCAAAUUGUAUUCUUGUAUAAGAUUUUCCUCUCAUAAUAAAGAACGGAUUUCUCUCUGUGGACGUAGGCUCAAUGGUGGAGUCGAACUGCGUUAAAUAUUGUGUAUCAUUUAUCUUUCAUGCUUGUGGCUUGUUUGCCAUUAAAUUGUUGUAUACUUAAUAUCUUAAUAGUUGUUUAUUAUGCACUUGGAUCCUAACACUUGAUCUGGCUUUCACUUGUUAAGUUAUUGCGUGAUCCAUUUUUUUUUCAACCUUUUUGAUCAUUCUUCCCUCAUGAUGGCUGCUAAAGCACUUAUGAGUGAGGCAAUUUUUCUCACAGGAAAGAAAACGGAUAUGACUUUAAGUUGUGCAUGUUAGCAAUUCUACCCCGAAUUGUCAUGUAGUUGUUUGAUCAAAUGUAUACAAGGAAUCCACGUGUUAUUAACCUUCAUAACUGAUAUGUAAAAGUUAGUACUAGAAAUUUGGAAUUUAUACUCCUUUAUUUCCUUACUAAACAAUUAAUAAUAGUUAGUUUUCUAGCAUGUAUCAUAUAACUUAUGCUUGGCGGCAAUGACGGAGCCAAGGGGGGGCAGAGGGGGGCCAUGGCCCCCCCUAAGUUUUGAGAAUUUUAAUUCAUAAUAUGUAAAUAUGUGUGUAAAAUAAAAUUAGCCCCCCCUAAAUUUUUUCAAUUUUAGUUUAUAUUAUGAGAGAUGAUAUAUAUAUAUAUAUAUGAAUUAGUCAUCUUUGAAUGGAAUGGCCUGCAAGCUUUAAUUUGCCAUGAAUGUCCAUAUGCCUAUUACAUUCAUUGUUUGGCUCAUAGGUUUCAACUUGCUUUAGUUGCAGUUUCUAGAGAAGUAGUUUCUGUUCACCAAUUCUUCUCCAAUUUAGUUUUCAUUAUCAACAUUGUUACUGCAUCUAACAAACGUAAUGAUGAAUUAAAGGAGGCUCAAGCAAUUGAAGUUGCUACUAAGAUUGCUAAUGGUGAACUUGAAACUGGAAGGGAGCUUAAUCAAAUUGGCACUUUAAAACGAACUGGAGAUACUCGUUGGGGUUCUCAUUUGGAUUCUAUUUCUAGUUUACUGAAAAUGUUCAAUGCUACUUGUGUGGUUUUAAGUAACAUUGCAGUAGAUGGAGGUUCAUACUCUUAACGUGGAGAUGCAAAUUUUGCUUUGAAUCAGUUGUUAUCCUUUAAGUUUGUUUUCACUUUGCAUCUUAUGAAAGACAUUAUGGAAAUUACUCAUCUUCUUUAUAUAGCAUUACAACAUAAAUCUCAAGAUAUUUUGAAUGCAAUGCAUCUUGUCUCAAGCACAACAAAGCUACUGAAGACUUUUCGAGAUUCGGGAUGGGAUGAUUUCUUGGUGAAAGUUAAAUUAUUUUGUGAGCAACAUCAAAUUGAUAUCCCAUGUAUGAAUGCUCAAUAUAUUGCAAGACGUGGUAGAUCUCGAAGUCAUCAUGAUGAGAUUAGUGUGGGGCAUUAUUAUCGAGUGGAUAUAUUUCUUGCAACAAUUGAUUAUCAAUUGCAAGAGUUACAUAGCAGGUUUAAUGAUCAUACCGUGGAAUUGCUUAUUUUGAGCACUGCUUUAGAUCCUAGAAAUGGAUUUAUGCUGUUCAAGAUUGAUGAUAUUUGUAAACUUGCAGAGAAGUUCUAUCCAAAUGAUUUUAUGGAGCAAGAACUAGUACGUCUAAGAAUAGAACUUCAACAUUUUGAGCUGGACAUUCCAAAUCAUCAUGAAUUGCAAGAAUUAUCUGGUAUUAAUGAGUUAUGUCAAGGCUUGGUGAAGACAAAAAAAUCAGUGAUAUAUCCUGUUAUUGAUAGAUUGAUUCGACUUGUUCUUACUCUUCCUGUAUCAACUGCAACUUCAGAGCGGGCAUUUUCAAUUAUGAAAAUAAUCAAGACAAAGCUCCAAAACAAGAUGGAAGAUAAUUUCUUGAAUGAUUGUCUAACUGUGUAUAUAGAAAGAAGGUUGCUGAAAAAUUUAGCAGUGAUUCAAUCAUAGAUGAAUUUAGUUUUAUGAAAGAGUUUAGAGCUCAAUUUACUUCUAAGAAAAGAUGUUGAAAUUUCAAAGUAUGCUAACAUAACUUUUAUCUUUUUUUAAUUGAAAAUAGUUACAUUUAUAUUACAAGGUUAUAUAUAUAUAUAUAUAUUGCAUAGGUGACAUAUUGGAGAGCAUCUUCUCAUAAUGUGCAAAUUGGAUGGUUUGUGAUGUUAUAAGAUAUUUAAUCAAAGGGUAUCUUUUUUGUUAAUUUUUGUUAUGACUGUACGGUAUAUUUAUGAAUAGACAUGCCUUUAUAAUUAAAUUUAAUAUUUGAUAGUUUUAGAUGUUAUAUAUUUAAAUAGAAGAAAAUUAUUUUGAACAUAAUAAUUAAGAUAAUUUUAUUAGGAAAAAAUUUUGGCCCCCCCAAAAAAAAAAUCCUGGCUCCGUCACUGCUUGGCGGGUUUUCUUUGGAAGUUGAUGUUAAGGUAUAAUUUGUUUAUUAUCUUUCAUUUACCGAUCACCAAAUAGCUUGAGACAUUGGACCUUUCCAAUCAGUCAAUGUAAACAUCGCUGGUCUUGGGGUCUUCGGAGUUAUUCACUUUUUCUUGUUUUAAUUGGCUUUAUUCCAUAUUGGUGUAAAACUUUUCUGGUAAUGAAAAUAUAUUGAAAUUGUAUGGUUGCUUGCACAAAAGACAAAGUUUUGGGAAUGACUAUUGAUUUUUUUCAAGGAAGGUAGCUUGUCAAAAUUUUAUGCCUCUAUUCAUCUUCAAAGAAAUGUUUGGCCUUGCUUUAGCUGGAAAAGAGAUUGUCAGUGAUAAUUUUGUUGCAAGAUCACAAUCUAAAAUAUUCUUCAAAAAAGAUGUUUUUACAGUGAUGUUGAAUUGCAUGAGCCCCUGCAAAAAAUGGAAAGUUAAGAAGGUUAUUUUGAAGAUGAUGUUACUGUUAUUUGGGAUAUUUAAGAGGAUUGGUCAUAUCCUUUGAGAGAAAUUUUAUUGCUAUAUUCUGGUCUUUAGCAACAUUUUUCUCUCUGUACUAUGAAAGCACUACCAUCUCAUUCACUUAUGUUUUCAUGGAAGAUUUAUGUCAUUCUUGACCUUUUGUGGACAGAUUAUUAUUUUAUGGUGAUUGUAUAUUUUCCAAAUGAAAUCCACUUUUCUCCCCCAUUGUGUACUUGACUCGGCAAAGAAAACAAAAAGAAAAGAAAUCAAAUUCUGAUUUAAUUUGCACUCUGUGCCAUGCAAAGCUUCUUUGCUUGCUAUCCUUACAGCCGGAGACAAUAUUGCAUGUGACAAAAUAGCUAUUUCUGUUCCCAAGGAGGUUGCUAUGUCUGCUUUGCAUUUCAUUUUUCAUUUUUCUGCUAUGAACAAAAACAAGUUAUAUAUUUCAAACUGAUUGUGGCUUUUCGUACUUGAUUUACGUUUUCCAAAAGUUGGUAGUAACAAGCAUAUUCAUGUUAUAUGGAACACAAUUAUGGGUAUAAUUAUUGUUAACUUUCAACUAAUAAUCUUAUGAAUGCUUAUAUACACUUGUUCAUACAGCACCCCAAUGGAAAAUGAAAAAAAAAAAAAAAAACGGCUUCGUGCAAGAUAUUUUUAUCUCACUGUCUCAUUUUUUAAAAAGUGCCUCCUCUAAGGUCAUCUUAAAACCUGUACCCUGAUUCUAAAAGGGUUGUUGACGAGGAUUGAUCAUAUACAUAACUAGAUGAUUUUUUUUUUGUUUUAACAAAGUUUCGUGUUGACAAAGCAAAACAAAAAACAUAGGCGUUCUGUUUAUCCCUAGCCAUCAAUGUACAUGUAUGAACCAUAUUGUAGCUUUAAUUGAAACUCUAAGUUCUAUGCUAAACACGAUAGCUAUAGCUAAAGAAUUCUAUUUUAACCAUAAUGGUUCAGCAUUGGAGAAGCUUCUGGUUUACAUCUAUUACUUAUUUCUUGUAUAAUAUUUUUAAGUGGUGAAUGAUUAGUAAAGUUUUCUUGUUAAUUGUGUAGCCAUGUGUAGACUUCGUAGCAAAAGUAGUUGGAGUAACUUCGAAAAGGAAAAAUUUUGGUGUUGCAGAUUAAAUUGCAUCCCAAGAUUGUUAAUGAUAUUGAAAGUGUUUUAAAGAAGUAACAAGUCUUACAUGGUAUAUCAAUGUGUCUGCUAUGUACAAGCAAUAUUAGUGCUGAAAUUGCUAGCAAGUUUGUUGCUUUUUUACUAAGAAACAAUCAUAGAGUUUGCAUCGGUUCAACAAUCUACUUAUUUCACUUUGAGGUGACCUUAUGGUAGAUCCCACAACAUGAUGUCUUAAAAAUUUUCUUCUUCUUAUAUUUGGCUGUCAGUUAUUCUCAUACUUUUAAUGGAAGAAGGUGCAAUUUGCUUGUUGUUUUCUUCUGAAUCUUUUAGAUUUAUUUAUUAUCAUUAAGUAUACUACAUUUGGAAAGCCAUCAAAUAAUGAUUAAGAGAAGGGGGAAUAAGGGAUAAAAAAUGCUCUAGGUAUCAUAAUUGAUUUUGAUAAAUAAUUUGGAACUUUUUAAAGAAGAUUUGAGCCUAAAGUCCAACAUCUGUAUUUGUACUUUCUGUCAUUCUACAUUAGAGUGUAUUUUUUUGGCAUACUAAUGCAACAAAAUUCAUAUUUUCGUAUGUGGUGUAGUUUUUUGAGACUUAAGAGUGCUUGCAAAUUUGCAAUCUAUCAUCUCAAAGGAAAGCAAAAUGGUUAUAGGAAUAUUAUCUUAUUCCUAUUUUUGUUAUUAUUUGCACUCCAUGUAAUUUACUUACGCAGAACAAAUAGAAUGGAGGACGCUUUGGAGUAUGUGGGAGUUAAAUUAGUGAUGCAGGACAGUGCAACGGUUUUGUUCGAUCUCUAAUUUGACCUAUUUUUUACUAUUGUCUACAUUAAUCUCUUUAAUUCAAUUUAUCAAAGUUAAAGGUGACUUUGCUAUCGCUAUCAAUUGCUUUGAAAAUUGCCAUUAUUAUGUCAAAGCAAUUUAAAAUGUUCCAUUUUCACUUUUCAUUGGAUUUUUUUUCAGGAUGAAACCUAUUCAACUCUCACAUGGUGAUAGAGAAAAACACCUCGAAAGAGUCUAUCAAAGAGUUCAAUAUGUAAGUCAGGAACCCAACUCUGACCCAAAAACUUAACCUAUUAGGUUUUGGACCCUUAGUUACAUAUUAACAGCUCUGUCUCCAUCUCUCGGACCAAUGUGGGAUAUAACCUUUUACUCAUAAACUUAACACAUGGGAUUUGAGAAAACUACCAAAACGCUUGUUUCAGAACUGAUAUUGGCGUCAGAAAGGCAAUAUGCCAUCUUUGUACUAUUGCAAGUAGAAAAAUCAUUUUAAGUUUUAAAUUUCUGAUGAUUGUAGGUUUGCUGGUCAUGACUUUGCAAAUGUUGCUAUUGUUAGUGCAAGAAAUGAUUUUGCAAUAGGAAACGGUGCUUCUGACUCUUUUGAAAAGUAGGAAGUAAAUUAAUAAGAAGUGAAAAAUGGAUCUAUAGUGAAAAUAGCCUGCGCACUGUAGAGGGGAUGGAAUUUGAUCGUGGAUAUUUUUUCUCCUUGACAUGAUUGGAGUUUUGGAUUUCAUAUUUGUAUCUGAUGGUAUGUGGUAUUUAAGAUAGGAAACCUCUGUAUUCGCAAUUGCUUUUGGUUGCCUAAAACAUCGCAUAGUUCAAGGAUAUUUUGAAACGAUACUAGGAAGUCUCCAAUUGUGAUAGUUGCAUACAACAUUGAAGAGGAAGUUCCGACUCCAUCGUUAAUAGUCCCUUGCUAUUAGAGGUCUUGCCUUCCUUGAGCGCUACUAUCUCUUGAUAGGAAAGAAUGACAGAAGAAUGCUUGAAGCUAGAAUUUACCACAUUCUUUCAUUCUGAUGACAUUUUUUAUUGCAAUUUCAAUUAGUUAAAUUUACUAGAUGGCAGAUUAUGGAAAAAAAAAAAAGAUAGAUUACAACCUUAAAUUCACAUUCUAGCACCAAUUCUUCUUGGAUUUUGAAUUGUAUCUCCAGUUUAAGAAUUUGUCUUCUUCAAUCUUAUCUAAUUCCAAAAUGUUGUAAAUUAUAUCACUUAUAAAAAUUUUCCUAAUAUGUGAACAAUCAAGGCAAAUGUAAUAAGCUAACAUAACAUUGUUAUUGAAAUUGAAGUUGGCAUGUAUUUGCAACUUACUUUAAUAGUUAUAUUAUUUAGCUUUCUCUUAGUGUUUUCCUCCUUUUAUUUUGUAUCAGAAUAAUCUCAUUCGGCGGGGCACGCCAAUCUCCUAUAAUCUCACCGCAACGCGUGGUGUUGACCCUCCUGGUCCAACGACUAAUCGCAAAGGGCACCAAAUAAAUAAUAAUUAAUAAUUAAUCUAACACUCCACACAUUUUUUAAAUGCUGAUCAAGGAUCCAGCUGUCCAAGAAUGGGACAGAGAUCACCAACUCCAUUAAAUUAAACUAAAGAGAAGGAAAGGAAAUAGCGACUUCAAUACCCUUUUUUUAAAAUUAUUUUGUACCGAUAUAAGAGUAUGGAAAAAAACAAAAGAAGUUUCUAGUUAGCUAAUUAACAUAGAGGGCUCAUUUAGCUUUCUUUUUUGUGAAUAUGGCUUAGCAUAGCUUUCCCUUUUGUCUUGCUUAGCACAUAGGCCAUAGAAUUUGCUGGCAUACUUGUUAGAUUUAUCUCACAUCAAUUGUGAAAUAAAUAGGUUGUUUGAUUACAAUUGAUUGACGCGCACAGGAUCAAUCGUGGUAAUAAUUUAUCAUUUGCGAAGUUGCGAGUUGCUGCAAGCACACCGGGUAAAAGACCAUUUGAUCCAUUUUUUGCAUGUAUUGAAACAUCAUCUCUUCCAUAUUAGGUCUCUUCUCUUGGACUGGUUGAGGAGGAUAUUGCGAUUUUUGCUGCUAGCCUUGAAAUUCCGGUGAUUACACAGGUUGCUCCCUCCAUCAACCUCCAUGAUAAAUUAGGGUGAUUAUACCACCCUGGAUUAUAAGUGUUAGAGAAGGAAUCAUUCCGUUGCUAAAUCCUUUGACCACCGUAAAAUUCACAUCCUCCACCAUAGAUGGGGUGUUUCUAUUGUAACAACCAGCGGCAGCGUGUCCAUACAUGUUGCAAUACGAGCAUGGCUUAGGAGACUAAGAUUCACCCUUUAACAUUGACUGCAUUUGUUGCAUUUGUCGAGUUAACUCAGCCAAUUGAGCGCCCAUAUCUUUAUUAGUUGACACUUCAUGCACACUUGCUCUUUUACCCCGACUUGCUUUUUGUUGCAAGUUGCUGGAUAGCAUCUCAUAAAUAGCAACCAUUUCCUCCGGAGUUUUAUCCCUGAAAUACCCUCCAGCAUCAAAGUUGACCAUGUCUGGGUUGUAAAGGAUGGUCAACCCGUCAUAGAAAAACUGGAUUUGCAACGCCAAAGAGCACUAGUGAUGAGGGCAUUGACUCAAAAGCAGCUUAAAUCUUUCCCAUGCUUUGUGAAUUGGCUUCCCCUCCAUAUGAGAAAAUGAACGGAUCUUAUUCCUCAAGUCAAUUGUCUUUUGUGCCGAGCAAUACUUGGUCAUAAAGAUGUUAUACACAUCUUUCCAAGUUCUCAAUGUACCUUGUGGUAAAUUCAAGAGUCAGGAUUUUGCACGGCCCUUGAGACAGUAUGAGAAGCAUCUCAUCUGCAAGUCAUCUUCAGAUAUAUCAAUGAAAGGAAAAAAUCCUUGCAGAAGGGAUUAGAGUUGUUUAACCAAGGCAUCAUGUGGAAUGUCAGAAAUGGGGAGGAAAUUCUUCUGUGGUGGGAUGACUGGACCGGUAGAGGCCCCCUUAGAUCAAUGAUCUCUGGGCCACUCACCCAAGCAGAAACCAAAAUGAAAAUCAAGCAAAUUUUUGGAGAAUUUGAUGCUUGGGAUUUUUCUUCUCUCUCUUUUGAACUCCCGGACAAUAUUUGCAGAUUCAUUCAAAGCAUCCCAAGGCAGUUAAUGAGUAAUCAAUCUGAUACUCUAAGAUGGAAAACCAACCCAAAUGGAUCUUUCUCUGCCAAAUCUGCCCUUCUAAUUUUGGAGCAGGAUCUAAAGAAAAAGCCCCCUCAAGGGGAUUUUGAACUAUGGUCUUGGGUUUGGAAGGUCAAAACAAAGUCCAAGGUUAAACAUUUCCUUUGGCUAGCUUGCCAAAAUAGACUGCCUUCUAAGGCACUUCUCCUUAAGAGAAAUAUCAUUUCUGACUCUUUUUGCCCUCGCUGCAACCAUUCCUGUGAAGACUCAGCUCAUGUUCUUAGAUAUUGCCCACAUGCUUCCUCCUUUUGGCAAAGCCUCAACAUUCCCACUUCCUUUGAUCUGGAUUUUACAGUUUGGCUUAAAAAUGGUUGUCUGUCCAAGCAUAUUUCUCCAUUUUAUGGAAUCCCCUGGGGUACUGUUAUCUCUUUUGCCUGCUGGAAUCUUUGGAUUGCCAGAAACAAGGCUAUUUUUGAACCAUCUAACCUCUUCUCCAUUCUGCACAAUACUCUAGCAAUGGUGGCUGAAUACUCCUUUUUAGGACCUAUUCAGAACAUAGUACAUCCUAGAACAGAAGUGCUCAUUAACUGGAUUCCCCCUGAACCUUCCUGUUUCAAAAUCAACACUGAUGGAUCUUCCAUAGGGAAUUCGGGUCCAGCUGGAUCAGGUGGCUUGAUCAGAAAUCACCUAGGACACUGGAUAGCUGGGUUUAGCAGAAAAUUGGGACAUGCUACCAAUAUUCUUGCUGAGUUGUGGGGGAUAAGGGAUGGACUAUCCUUAGCUUCCUCUCUAAACUUGCAAAAUGUUGAAUUAGAAGUUGAUGCUAAAACUGCUCUAGACUUGCUUAAAUCGGCAGAUACCUCAACUCAUGAGUAUGCUUCAAUUAUCUCUGAUUGCAGGUUCCUGAUCUCUGCCCUGCCGAAAGUCAUACUUAGACAUGCUUAUCGAGAAGCAAACCAGUGUGCUGACAGAUUGGUAAAACUGGGUGCUCAACAAGACGUUAAUUUUGUAUGCUAUGAAAGUAUUCCUUAUGCUUUGAGAAGUCUAGUAGAUGCAGAUCUUAAGGGAAUUUGUUUCCCUCGUUUUGUACCUAUAACUUAAGUUUGUUUUAAUAUAUAGUCCCUUUUAUUACCAAAAAAAAAAAAAGGAAAAGUCAGGACCACAGAAUAAAUUUCAUGUUUAUUUACGUUUAAAAUAUGACCACUGGUAAGGAUUUAGCAUUUUGAUGGAAAUAAAAGUAAAAAAAAAAAUAAUAAUAAUAAUAACACACAGGUAGUAGUGGAUCAUAGCUGUCCAAGAGUACGAGAACUUCAUUUGUUUUUUUAAAUGACUAGUGGAUCGUAGAAUAUUAUUUACGUUUUUUAAAUGGCUAAUGGAUUAGUUCAGAAUUGAGUCGAGUAUAGUUUUCCUCUGUACUCUUAUAUCGAUACAAAAUUAUUUAAAAAAAAAAAAAAAAAGGUAUUCAAGUCGCUAUUUGCUUUCUUUCUCUUUAGUUUAAUUUAAUCGAGUUGGUGAUCUCUGGCUCAUCUCGGACAGCUAGAAUGUUUAUUAUUACUUUUUGUAUCCUCAAAAAGCUGGAUCCUUGAUCUGCAUGAAAAAAAAUGUGUGGUGUGUUAGAUUAAUUAUUAAUUAUUUGGUGCUCUUCGCGAUUAGUUGUUGGGGACAGAUAGGAAGUUAAUUGCUCUUUCCGUGUUACGUUGAUAGUCUUGACUUUUUCUCACACACGUUAAGAAAAUUUUGUUAACUUUACUCAAAAAUUAAAUCUAGCCUAAUAUUUUUCUAAAAUGUUCUUACAUUAAAAAUAAAAAAAAAUAAAAAAAAAACGCAGCCAAGUAGUGGAUCAUAGCUAUCCAAAAAUGAGACGGAUUACCUACUCGAUUAAAUUAAACUUUCCUUUCGGCUGAUCAAGGAUUUAGCGUUUUGAUGGAAAUAAAAAUAAAAAAAAUAAAUGCAGCAAAGUAGUGGAUCAUAGUUGUUCAAGAAUGAGAAGGAUUACCUACUCGAUUAAAUUAAACUAAGGAGACAAAGAAGAAAUAGUAACUCUAUUAUUUUGGUUCGUUAUUAGAGUACAGUGAAAUCUCUAUAAAUUAAUACUCGAUAAAUUAAUAAAUUUUAUUAAAUAAUAAUUUCUUUGAUCCCAACUUGAACUAACAAGUUAAAUUAAUAUUUUUGAUAAAGAAUAAGAUAAUAAUUUUAUUUUGAAAAACUUACAUAAUCCUUUGGUUCCAUACGUAUCAUAAAUAAAUAAUUUACUCAAAAAUAUAUAUAAUAUUUUCUUAAAAUAUGAGUCUAUUGUUGUUUGUUUUUCUUAAAAUUUAAAUCUACCUAAAUCUCAUCCCCAAUUUUUCUUAUUGUAUCUAAAAGUUCCUUAUUCAAACUUUCUGUGUUAGGUUCAUGAGUAAAAAAGAUUACAUCCCACAUUGGUCCGAGAGAUGUAGAAAGAGUGGUUAAUAUGUAAGUAAUGAUACAAGACCUAAUGGCAAACAAGCCAAAAGCAUGAAAGAUGGACGACACACAACAUUUAAUGUGGUUCGGCCCCACCAUUGAGUUACGUUCACAGAGAGAAACUCGUUUUUUAUUAUGAGAGUAAAAUUCUAUACAAAAAUACAAUUUGAACCCAAACCCAACCUUUGUAUACUAUCUCUCAUUUCCCAAGAACCCUCUCUCACCCCAUGUAUAAGACUAAAUGUUGCUUCUUGUGUGCUCUUUUAUGUCUUUUUGUAGUAUAUCAACCCACCUAUUUAUAGAGAAUAUUAUUUGAUCAAAAUACCAAAUAACAAUAGAAAACCAAUUCUCAUUCCUAAAAUUGUACAAAAUAUGAAAUAACUUCUAAUUCUAAAUAAAAUAGAAAAUUUCUUAACUACUACUUCAGGUAACUAAAAUCAAUUAAAAAACUAGUUACUUCCACGUAAAAUAAAAAAUCUAUUUAAAAGAAAUUAAAUCAAUUUCCUAUAACUGUAGAUCAGUCAAGUUUGGCGAUUUUUAUUUUGCGGAGCCCUUGAAGCUAGCUUGCUGCCCUAUUGUCGGGGACUGCAUCAUCUUUAUAAGCUUAGCAAAGUGCGCGACGUGGGGCCUUUCUUCUUGACUUCUUAUUUUGUUUUAUUUUAAGUCUUUUUAAUUCUAAACUUGAAUUCUCAUAUUACAAUAAGAAAUUAUGAAAAGUUAUUGAUAACUUGAGUGCUUGCUUCGAGUUAUUGAUACUUUGAGUUGCAACCAAUAAAAUUGAAAGAAUUUGAGCACUCUCAAGGUGUUUUCAAAGGCAUUUUUGGCUGAGACCCGGGGCAAGCAUUUUGAUACUUCAUGAUUUUAAUUUUGAAGGAACAUAUGUUUUAGGUUCAAGCAAUUGAGCAUUAGCCUAUACUUUGAUAUGCCCGUCGAUAUAGGUUUUUUCUUUCAAUGCUACUGUGACGUGACCAAGCCGUCCAAAGCAGAGAUAAAAGAAUAGUACAAAAUGCUUGUCCUGCGCUAUAAUUUAUUUUCACAGACCAAGAAGAUGAAAAUCAAGUUCUACCUAACACUUAAAAUAAUAUUGAUUAAAUAAAAAAGCAAGAAAUUUCCAUUGUAGCAGCAUCCUAGAAAAUUAAUUUCCUACUAGUUGCUUAAAAAUUCCUUGUUUGACACUUGACACGUUUCUCCAUCGAAGAAAGGUAAAAAUAUGUUUCAGGCGUUUAUUAGUGCCACUAUCCAAGCUGCCUGGGGACGGCUUUAUCUCUUGCCUGCACUGAUGGAAUUGUUAUUAAUUUAUUUAUUUUUUGGGGAGUAAUAAAAUUAUUAUUACUGUAAUUUACUGCUUCAGUAAUCAAACGCAGAGACAGUAUAAUUUUCUCUUCCUAAUAAAAAGUAAAAACUUCCUGGUUUGACAUAUUAACUCUCCACAAUCUGCAGGCGACAAGGACUGCUACCUCCAAGGAAAUAAAAUAAGGUUGAGGCUCUUAUUAGUGCCAUUAUCCAGGCUGCCUGGGGACGGCUUUAUCUCUUGCCACGGAUAUGGUUUGGUAGGGCGGAUUUACGCUGGGCCGCUGGGGGCACGGCUACAUUGCUCUUAAAUUUCUACAAAAAAAUUGAUAUAAUUUCAAAUGUGCCUCCCGAAGUUUUGUGUAUCUAUUGAUUUAUAUGCUCUUAAAGUUAUCUUUGAUUUUACCUGUUAUUACAGCUACGAUAGAAAAGAUUUUUCAAUUAUGAACAUAACGAAGAAUUCGUUACGAAAUAGAAUGGAAGACACUUGGAUGAAUGAUUGUUUAGUUACUUAUAUAGAGAAAAAUAUAUUUCGUGAAAUUCAAAAUGAAAAAAUUGUAAACCGUUAUCAAAAUAUGAAAACUCGUCAUGAGCAAUUGUAAAUGGUUUAGUUUGCUUUUUGAAAUAAAAUUAUUAUCACAUUAAUAAUUUUGAGUUUGUCUUUUUAUGUUUUUCAUGGAAUAUAUGCAUCAUUUGUACUUGUUUGUGAAUUUUUUUUCCUUAAAAAAACUAGAAAAAGAGUAGGUAAAAAAUUUUUGAGUUACUUUUGUCUCCACUGAAAAUUUUUUCUGGCUCCGCCACUGCAGUAAAAUGAGUUUCAUCUGCUAACAUUAUCAUAUUUUACUGCUUCAUUUAUCAAAGUACUUUGCUUAAUUUUUUUUGUGUAACGAUAAAUCUAAUCUAGUCUAAACUACUCAUAUUCCUACUCUAGCCUACUGGGGGUUUGCCCAAUUGACCCGAGAGAAUUAACGGGGACUGAACCACCAUCGGAUCAGACAGGUACACCAUGCACUCGUGUAGAUUUAAAAAAAGCCACAUACAUAGUGACACGUUGAUGGGAGGUAAGGUUUGAAUCCUUAACCUCCCACCCCAUAAUGUACGUGAUGGAGGAAGUUGCUUAAGUACUUUGCUUAAUGUGUUCAGCAUUUCAAGGCGAAAGAUUCAAUCAUUGUUUGAAUUCGAGCCGGCUUUAACUAAGCUCAAGCAAGUCGAAUAACUUGACAAGUUUGAACUCAUUUAUAUGUGUUUGUGUGCGCGUGAAGCUCGCAUGCUUAUCUUAGCACAGCAAAGCAUAUUUAUAUCGAAUAGAUUUAGGUAUUGUAAACUUUAAACGUAUGGACACUGAUAAAAAGAAAAUUAAAUAAAUGCAUGUUGACAUUGUAAAUUCAUUGUUUGUUAUCAAUACCUCUAUGUAUAAAUCUAUAUUUACUCAAAGAAGACAGCCACAGCAGGCUUUCUUGUUUCAUUACUAUUACUACUUUGAUUAUUGAGUCUUCCACAAAUUCUGCUUCCUACAGUUUUCUGUUCCAUCUUUGUUAGUCAAUUGCAUCACCUGCCUGUACUCUUGGUUCAAAAAAGUCCUUCAUAUAUUGUUGUCUGAUCAAGUACAAAAAGGCUUCCUAGUUUUUACACUGAUAUCAAGACUAGCGUAGAAGACAUUGGAUAUGGCAGAAGCCGCUGUUUCUCUGGUGAUUGACAAGCUGGGCAAUCUCUUGAUUCAGCAAACCGUUCAGCAGAUCGUAUUCCUCAAAAAUGUUCCUGAACAAAUUCAAAGCCUGAAAACAUUGCUGAUCGACAUUCAGUGCUUCUUGAAGUUUGCAGAUGAACAACAAGAUGACAACCCAAUGAUCCGCAACUGGGUGUCUAAACUUAGAGAUGCAGCGUAUGAAUCUGAAGAUGUCAUUGAGACGUUUAUUGUUAAGAUGCAGGCCUUAAAGAAGAAGGGCAUCUUGGAAAAUUUGUCUUGCUUUCCCAAACGGUUAUUAUAUCUCUACAAGGUGGGGAAGAACAUUGAAUCCAUCCAGAAAAAGAUGCUCGAUAUUGAGAAAAGUCGCCUGACUUUUGGUAUUGAUCAAGUUCUUGGAGAAGGGACGAGCACAAGAGGAGAGGAGCUGCGGAAAUUGCUGAGAUCCUCACCUUUCACCGAGGACAAGGAUUUGGUGGGCCUGGAGGAAAAAACAAAUUCGCUGGUUGCACAACUUCUGGUGCAGGACAGCAGCCGCCGAGUAAUAUCAAUUGUUGGAAUGGCAGGAGUUGGCAAAACAACUCUUGCCAGAAAAGUUUACAAUCAUGUUGACGUGAUUCGAUAUUUUAAUUGCCGUGCCUGGGUUUAUGUUUCUCAAAAGUGCAGUGCCCAGGAAGUACUGGUGGGAAUCAUAAAGCAAGUCGAAAAACAAACCAAGGAAUCACUUGACUUGUUGGAAGGAAUGCAAGAGGCAGAUCUGGAGAGGAUGGUUCGGGAGAAACUUCAAGACAAAUGUUACCUUGUAGUUCUUGACGAUAUCUGGGAAGAAGAAGCUUGGGAUUCUCUGGCAGCAGCAUUUCCUAAUGUAAAUAAUGGCAGCAGACUUCUAAUGACUAGUCGCUAUGAGAAGGUUCCUCGGUAUGCGGAUGCUCUAAGCAAACCUUAUAAGUUGGAAACCUUGGGAGAGAAAGAUGGCUGGCAAUUGUUUCUCAAGAAGGCACUUGCUUAUGGUUUGACAUCAGAAUCCAAGUUGCCCCCAGACCUAGAAGCCAUCGGAAGAAAAAUCGUUGAAAGAUGUGAUGGUCUUCCUCUGGCGAUUACCGUCAUAGGACGCCUAUUACAAGGAAAGAGUGAAUGGAAAAGCGUUCUGGACACUCUCACCGACCAGUGGUCAAGGGGCCGGAAAGGAGUUUCAGCUGUUUUGGCAUCAAGCUACAAUGACCUUCCAUCUUAUCUCAAGACUUGUUUUUUGUCCUUUGCUAUCUUUCCAGAAGACUUUGUCAUCCCAACACGUAAGUUGUUCCAUAUGUGGAUCGCUGAGGGCUUAAUUCAUCAAAAAGGAG
rnacentral:lncRNA from 1 species